GGUAAGAUGGCCGAGGGUGAGGCGGUGGCUGGUAGUUCCACCAAGGGAGGUUAAAUUCUUCUUUUUAUCA
rnacentral:tRNA from 1 species